GAUGAACGCUGGCGGCGUGCCUAAUACAUGCAAGUCGAGCGAACGGACGAGAAGCUUGCUUUUCUGAUGUUAGCGGAGGACGGGUGAGUAACACGUGGAUAACCUACCUAUAUGACUGGGAAAACUUCGGGAAACCGGAGCUAAUACCGGAUAAUAUUUUGAACCGCAUGGUUCAAAAGUGAAAGACGGUCUUGCUGUCACUUAUAGAUGGAUCCGCGCUGCAUUAGCUAGUUGGUAAGGUAACGGCUUACCAAGGCAACGAUGCAUAGCCGACCGGUGAGAGGGGUCGGCCGCACUGGAACGGAGACGGCGUCCAGACUCCUACGGUAGGCAGCAGUAGGGUAUCUUCCGCAGUGGGCGAGAACCUGGCGGAGCGACGCCGCGUGAGUGAUGGAAGUCUUCGGAUCGUGAUACUCUCUUAUUAGUUAAAAACAUAUGUGUAAGUAACUGUACACAUCUUGACGGUACCUAAUCAGAAAGCCACGGCUAACUACGUG
rnacentral:rRNA from 1 species